CUGUUUCUACGCAGACGAAGUCGCAGGUGGCCUCUAGUUACUCAUAUAUAAGCGGCGGCGUCAGCGUUUCGGCACUUCGCUCCCGUCGUACCUACUCCGUGUCCGGCGCUCCCCCGCGCGUCUCUUCAGGCCCCGACUGGACUCGCGCGAUAGCACAAGCGAGCGAACAGUUCGAAUGAAUUAGUUGUACACGGAUAACGUUAUCUCGCGCUUAGUUGAAUUAUAUUAUUAGUUUUUCAAUGUGAAAGUUUCAAGGUAUACAUAUAUAGAUUUUAGGCUGAGAGUUUAGUAGUAGAAUAUUUGUAUCGUAUGUUUGAGUAAUUUUGAAUAAUCUUAAGUCAAAGCGUACCUACUAGACUAGACUAACACUAUCUUAACCUACUUGCAGGUUUAUGAACAAACACGAUGCCAUUCAAAGUGAUUCAAACUAUGGAACGAGGCUGUCUGCGAUUGACGACUGUCCCAGAGCAGUGGGAAAAAAAUGGUACUUUGUUCUGGCCCAAAACUAACGCGGAAAAACUUAGAAGGCGCGAGAGUUGUUAUCCAGAUCCUACUUGGAGAACUUUUAAUUGUAUUUUGAAAAGAAGCCAUUUACCAACAUUUAAAGACGCAGAAAAUCAAAUAGAUGCAAUGAGUGAUAGGUCCGAUACCGAGACGGAGAAUGAGUAUCGGAACAAUUCGCUAUCUGUAACCACCCAAAGAGAACCGUUGGCUCAUUCUUUUAAUAAAAUGGCGCAGGAGUUGGUAGAGAAUGAUCAAGAAAAUAUUGCUGCUGCUAUGCUAGAAAAGGAAAACAUACCACCGGGUGAAAACUAUGAUGCUGCCGUUAAUAUUGUUCAAACUCUGGAACCAAACUCUUUACCAGAAACAAUUGACCUAGGCUGUGAAAACACAGACAACCAAAGUCAAAACAUUUUGAUAUUAAAUCAAGAUGUACCACUACAGCAAAUUCAAGAGGAUAUACAGGCUCUUAAACAUGAUCUCUAAACAAUUCUUACUAAUCAAAAUGCUUUGUUUGAACUUCAAAACAAAUUACUUUUAAAACAUUCAGAAUUUCAGACCCAAUUCGAGGAAUACAUAAAGCUGUCUUCUAAGCUACCAGCUCAGGAUCGGGAUGAUGGUAUAAAUACCAUAAAAACUUCAAAUGAUUUUGAUGACUUUGAAAGAAACCUGUUAGAUGCAGUAUUUAAAGAAGAUCAUAAAAAAAAAUUACGUGGGUUAUGUAGCAGAGGAUCUGGAAAGGGUACUUCAAAUGCAUACUACCUCAUUGAUCAUUUAUUUGACAGAGAGUUUUUGAAAAGUUGUACAUGGACUGGUUCAUCAAAGAAAGACCCGGUAAAGAUUUGUUUCAAAGCCCGAGAAAGAACAAUUAAUUUUUUCCAUGAUAUUGUGAAGGAAUCAGACGAAACAUUCAGCAAAGCAGAUUGCGAAAAAUUUUUCAAAAUUAUACUCAAAAAUGCUCACCAGCGCUGUGAGAGCAAUAAGAGAGCAUCUUCAGCAAGACAACGUACUAAGGGGAAAAAAACUAAAAAUGAUACUGCUACAACAUCUUCUGUGUGCGCUAUAGAACAGCCAGCUCAAGAAGAUAAUGUUCGUCCUCCACCCGAACCUUUGCUAGAUCAGCCAGUUCCAGCAAUACCUGAAUCCUCAGAACAAAAUCAACUUGAGAAUGUAGAGGUGAUAAACCUGCCCAGUGCUGCUGCUGUGCUGCCGGAAAAUUAAUUACUUAAGUAACAAAAAAAUGUGUUAACUUUCUAGAGUUGCUGUACCUAUGAAACUGAAAUAGUUCUCCAGUUAAAAAAGAAAAAACAGUUAGGUAUUCUACAUAAAAAUUUCUACUACACUCUAGAAACUUCAGAAAUUUAAUGUCAACAGCUACUGAAAGUUCAUGCAAUAAUUUUAUUUGCUGUUUGGAUAACAUAUCUUUGUAGUCCUUUUUUAUUUAUCUAGUGUUUAUUUUUUUAUUUGAAUUUUUGGCUCUUACGAAGCCCUAAAAAUUAUGUUCUUGAAGAAGAAGAAAUUAUGUUGAAAUUAUUAUUCGUUUUUUCAAGUACGCACGAGUAUUGAUUAUCUACGUUGUGGUUUAUUUGACAACAAGUUUUAAAUCUAGGUACCUACCUACUAUAGGUAAGUAUAUAAGUUGAUUUGUUUUUAGAGUAAGGCUCAUGCUACACUGGAUCAGGAAUGGGGACCGCUCCGGACUCACACACAGUCCGUGUGGUAACUGUCUAUGUCUCGCCCCGGAACGGACCUACAUCGUAACUAUCCUGCAUUCCCGCUCCUGUGUAUCAUAGGCUUUAGGCUACAAAUACCUGAAUAAGUUAAGUAUGUUAUUGUGCCGCAAUUUUUUUGACCUUAAUAUUACCUACAUAAAAAUGUUUAUGUAUUUUUUAAGUAUUAUUCCGAGUGAAGAUGCAUGUGAAUUUAAAGAUUGGUUAAAUAGUAUGUAGCUAAAGAGUUUAUUAUGUCUCUAACAAUAGUUUUAUAUAAAGUUUUUACUUUUAGUGUUAGAUAAAGAUAAUAAAUACCUCAUAAACCCAGACUGAUUAAAGUAACUAUUCUGUUAAUGUAAUUUAAAGUACAAAUUAGUUACUCCCGUUUUUUGAAUGUUAUUGUACUAAACUUUGAUAAGUUGUUGAUUGAAUGAUAAAUAAAAAUACCUGUUAAAUUUU